UAGGGAAUCUUCGGCAAUGGACGAAAGUCUGACCGAGCAACGCCGCGUGAGUGAAGAAGGUUUUCGGAUCGUAAAACUCUGUUGUUAGAGAAGAACAAGGACGUUAGUAACUGAACGUCCCCUGACGGUAUCUAACAAGAAAGCCACGGCUAACUACGUGCCAGCAGCCGCGGUAAUACGUAGGUGGCAAGCGUUGUCCGGAUUUAUUGGGCGUAAAGCGAGCGCAGGCGGUUUCUUAAGUCUGAUGUGAAAGCACCCGGCUCAACCGGGGAGGGUCAUUGGAAACUGGGAGACUUGAGUGCAGAAGAGGAGAGUGGAAUUCCAUGUGUAGCGGUGAAAUGCGUAGAUAUAUGGAGGAACACCAGUGGCGAAGGCGGCUCUCUGGUCUGUAACUGACGCUGAGGCUCGAAAGCGUGGGGAGCAAACAGG
rnacentral:rRNA from 1 species